rnacentral:rRNA from 1 species
AUGCGUGGAAUUCAUGCAAUCAACAACGCCAUAGUUACCUUACUACCUAAGGUGGAUGGCGCGGUGGACGUGAAAGAUUUUCGGCCCGUGAGCCUUGUACAUGGAGUGAUAAAAAUCUUCGACAAAGCUCUAGCAAACAGAUUGGUGAUCGAGCUCCCUAGGCUAGCUGGAAACCACCAGAGUGCCUUUUUCAAAGGGCGAUCGAUACACAAUAAUUUCAUGUUGGUCCAAUGCACUGCUCGUCGACUCCAUGCACUAAAGGGGGCCACAAUUAUGCUCAAGUUGGACGUACUAAAGCGGUCGAAAUAG